rnacentral:lncRNA from 1 species
GAUGUUUCGUCUUUUGACAGAAUAUUUUUCAUUUUUUUCUUGGAAAAAUUGCAUUUUUUCAAGCAACCAAGGUUGCAUUUAAUACUGGUUUUUAGUGUUUCAGGGUAAGGAGUUAGCUGAAGGAAAAGACUCAAAAAAUUAGCAAAAAAAAACACUUUUGAUGGUCAAAAUGGUGGACCUUCGGUUUUGCGACAGACCACCAACUCAACCGUCAGAUCGAGGCAGAACUCAUGAAUUCUGAAGACCCAAUGAUGGACCAUGUGGUGGACCGUCAGUUUUUUGAUGAACCACCACUCUGGCCAUCAACGCAAAAUAUAACCAGGCAUCUUGAAAGGCUCAAUGACGGUGAAUAUGGUGGAUCGUCGAUCUUGCGACGGACCACCACUCCAGCCGUUAGUAUUAUCCAGAACCUGACUCUGCAGCACCAUCAACGACGACCAAGAUGGUGGACCAUCAGUUUUGUGACGGACUACCAUGUAGACCAUCAGUCUUAACUAGAAUGUGACCCUCCAAGAUCAGCUGCGAUGGACCAAAUAGUAGACCGUCAGCCGUGUGAUGGACCACCACUUUGGCCGUUACUUUGUACGCGAAUUUUAUAAUAUUUGAAUUUUAAAUUUCUUUUACCUGGGAAAAUAUAAAUACCCAGUUUUAGGUUUUAUCUUUUAUUUUUAUGAGAGUUUUCCAUAUUAGAAAACAUAUUGUAAGUAGUUUUCCUCUAAGAUUCAUUCAAGAAUUAUGGAUCUAGAUUUCAAUAUCAUUUUCUCCACUGAAGAUUGAAGAACAAUAAUUGUGACUUUUGUAAGUAAAUUUUGAAUUAAUUUAUGAAUAACAUAAUGAUAUCUUCUCUUUCUAUGAUGGAGAUGUAUGGCUAAG